GACGUAGGGGGCCAGCGUUGCUCGGAAUUAUUGGGCGUAAAGGGCUCGUAGGCGGUUUGUCGCGUCGGGAGUGAAAACUCAGGGCUUAACCCUGAGCCUGCUUCCGAUACGGGCAGACUAGAGGUAUGCAGGGGAGAACGGAAUUCCUGGUGUAGCGGUGAAAUGCGCAGAUAUCAGGAGGAACACCGGUGGCGAAGGCAGGUCUCUGGGCAUUAACUGACGCUGAGGAGCGAAAGCAUGGGGAGCGAACAGG
rnacentral:rRNA from 1 species